GUGGAGUACACUGAUGUGGUACACCGCCAACCUGUGGACCCUGCCAGAGUUCCCCUGAGAAAAGGGACCGAAACGGUGUGCAGUGAAGUCCAGAACUCCCCAACCAGUGCACCCGGUGACCAUUACCACUAUCAGGGUACGCCUAUCUCAGCGGUGACCAACCGGAGGUCAACCAGGACCUGCUGGAGGUCAAUCACCAGGACCACCGUGACCUGGAGUAAAGGUUACCUCUGAUCCCUCGUGACCCCUCACACUAGGACCACAAA